rnacentral:lncRNA from 1 species
GUUCUACUUGUCCCAUUUCCAUGUUAUUUGUAAACGUUGAAAGCCUUUUAAGUGCAGGUAUAAUGACUAGCUCCUCUCUGUAGUUUCAGUGAGUGGUACCAGGCCUGACAUAGAGAGGGAAUGGAAUGCCCUACAGAAUGAGAACCCAGAAGGGAGACACUCAGCCCUGAAAAGCAGACUUCAGAUCAACUGAUUAAUUUUUUCAUCGACAGAAGCAAAAAAGGAAAAGAAAGAAGGAAGGAAAAGGACCGAGAGAACAGACCGGGAAGACCCAAGGGCUAAGACCGUCUUUGUCCUUCGUAUUCUCUGUGCCGCUUGGAUCAGGCACAGAAUGUGUGUCAA